rnacentral:rRNA from 1 species
GACGAACGCUGGCGGCGUGCUUAACACAUGCAAGUCGAACGGAAAGGCCCUGCUUUUGUGGGGUGCUCGAGUGGCGAACGGGUGAGUAACACGUGAGUAACCUGCCCUUGACUUUGGGAUAACUUCAGGAAACUGGGGCUAAUACCGGAUAGGAGCUCCUGCUGCAUGGUGGGGGUUGGAAAGUUUCGGCGGUUGGGGAUGGACUCGCGGCUUAUCAGCUUGUUGGUGGGGUAGUGGCUUACCAAGGCUUUGACGGGUAGCCGGCCUGAGAGGGUGACCGGCCACAUUGGGACUGAGAUACGGACCAGACUGCUACGGGAGGCAGCAGUGGGGAAUAUUGCACAGUGGGCGGAAGCCUGAUGCAGCAACGCCGCGUGCGGGAUGACGGCCUUCGGGUUGUAAACCGCUUUCGCCUGUGACGAAGCGUGAGUGACGGUAAUGGGUAAAGAAGCACCGGCUAACUACGUG